UAACACUUCGUUCUGAUGCUAAGUUAGCUAAGACUUCUAAACCACAUAUGGUAAACAAAAAAGCUUUGUGAACAAUUUAUUGCUUAGUAAAAUGUUCAACACAUCUUAACCUAAGCUCUAAAAAAAGAGUACAUAGACAUACUCUACGGAACAUCCCACAACACCAAUGAUUUAUAUUGUUUAUCUAGCUAGGAAACUAGGCAACAGAGAUAGUCAAUCACAAGUGACUAAAUAAGGUGCCAGCAGUCGCGGUUACACCUAAUCUUGAAGCUAAUUCGCACAAUAAAAGAGGCCUGAUACAUAAUCGAUCCCAGUUUUACUUGUAAAAGUGAAAUUUCUACUUCUAUAAAACAUCCAAAUAGAUCCUAUUUCUAAGCCUCAACAAACCACACUACAAAACAGGGAUUAGAUACCCCACUAUUGCGUGGCCCAACAUAAUAAAUACUAAAAACGAAAGUUUCAAACUUAAAGAACGUGGCGGUGUUCUACACCUCAUUAGGGGAUCCUGUGGCUUAAUUCGAUAAUCCACGACUAAUAAAGCUUUAUUAGUUCACAGCUUAUGUAUGGCCGUCUUAUGCCUGCACACUAAUGUUAUAACAGGAGACAACUCAAAGGUAACCCUUUAAUAAUACAGGUGACAUAUAGCCUAUAUAAAGCAGCUCAUGGGAUACAAAUAAUCAUUAUUAUCCGAAGGUAACUUGAAACUGUUACAAAAAGGAGGACUUAAAAGUAAGAUCAAAACAAUACUUUGAUCUGAACAAGAUCUAGAACGCGCACAAAUCGCCCGUCACUCCCGGGUCCAAUCGGGACAAGUCGUAACACAGUGGGGGUAACGGAAGUUGCCCCUAAA
rnacentral:ncRNA from 1 species